AGAGUUUGAUUAUGGCUCAGGAUGAACGCUGGCGGCGUGCUUAACACAUGCAAGUCGAACGCUGAAGCCCCAGCUUGCUGGGGUGGAUGAGUGGCGAACGGGUGAGUAACACGUGAGUAACCUUCCCUUGACUCUGGGAUAAGCCCGGGAAACUGGGUCUAAUACCGGAUACGACCUCCUGCCGCAUGGUGUGGGGGUGGAAAGAUUUAUCGGUUUUGGAUGGACUCGCGGCCUAUCAGCUUGUUGGUGAGGUAAUGGCUCACCAAGGCGACGACGGGUAGCCGGCCUGAGAGGGUGACCGGCCACACUGGGACUGAGACACGGCCCAGACUCCUACGGGAGGCAGCAGUGGGGAAUAUUGCACAAUGGGCGCAAGCCUGAUGCAGCGACGCCGCGUGAGGGAUGACGGCCUUCGGGUUGUAAACCUCUUUCAGUAGGGAAGAAGCGAAAGUGACGGUACCUGCAGAAGAAGCGCCGGCUAACUACGUGCCAGCAGCCGCGGUAAUACGUAGGGCGCGAGCGUUAUCCGGAAUUAUUGGGCGUAAAGAGCUCGUAGGCGGUUUGUCGCGUCUGCCGUGAAAGUCCGGGGCUUAACCCCGGAUCUGCGGUGGGUACGGGCAGACUAGAGUGCAGUAGGGGAGACUGGAAUUCCUGGUGUAGCGGUGAAAUGCGCAGAUAUCAGGAGGAACACCGAUGGCGAAGGCAGGUCUCUGGGCUGUUACUGACGCUGAGGAGCGAAAGCAUGGGGAGCGAACAGGAUUAGAUACCCUGAUAGUCCAUGCCGUAAACGUUGGGCACUAGGUGUGGGGGACAUUCCACGUUUUCCGCGCCGCAGCUAACGCAUUAAGUGCCCCGCCUGGGGAGUACG
rnacentral:rRNA from 1 species